GGACUUGCCCACUCAUAGCAGUCAAAUUGUACUUUCCAAAGUGUUGCAAAAUGUUACCAGGGACUGACAAUCCAUGGCAGGUCUACAAAGAUGCAACAGAGAUGAAGAAACUAAUCUGUAACUGAGAAGUAAGCGGCAGAAUCAUUACUCACAUUCUAAAAGGUAGCCCUAACCAUGAGUUAAGGACUUGCCCGUGUCUCAUUCUCUGCCAGUGAGGAGAUGCACAUGAAGCCGGCAGCGGGGAUAACCAGGACAGGUGACCCAAUCUGGCCAAAGGGAUAUUCCAAUCAGAAUGUCAUGCAUAGUACAACUCCCACAAAUACAAAUGGAGGAGUUACCCAGAAGAGGGGUCAUGUAAGGAUUUAAAGAACAUAGUAGCCUGUCUCAAAAUACUGUCAAGGCCACAGAAGGAACUUUCCAUAAUACAUGCAGCCACAGCAGGAACUUGAGAUAUGGAAUUUGUAAGAUGAAGGUGUUAAUUCCAGGCCUGGCAGAGGUGAGGUCUGGUUAGUACAUCCACGUUCAUGCAUCCAGGCAAAAAUUCCCACUGUGGCAAGCUGUGGAAAAGGAAGAAACUGCUCUUAUAUAUGUGUAUAUCACCACAAGUUAUGGGAACAGCAUGUACCACCACCCCAUGGAUACCCCAAACUUGGACUGUAUAAAAGUGUAAUCUCUGGAACAGCUCUGGGACCUCCCAACACUGAGAAGCUUGAGGUGAAGAGGGACCAACAGGAUGCAGCUGGAUCUGCAAGUGUUUUGCCUGAUGCUAUCCUGGAAAUGCUGCAGACAUCUAUAGAAGUAGCUGAGACAGAAUUCAGCAAGACUUUUAUUAAGGCAUAGAAGAUGGCAUCAAAAAUUCACUGUCAAAUUUUGUGAACCUUAUCCUAAAAUACUUAAUGGGCAGAGACUUCCUUUGUAGUCAUGACUUACACUAUAUCCAGCACUGUAUGACUAAGAGCAAAUGCCUAAGGUAAUAACAUUUCUUAAUCAGCCAGAAGGCUUGCAAUUAACCCAAAAAGGAUACUCCUUCCCCCACUUUACCUAAGGCUUUAUCCACUACAUCUAUUGCACUCCCAGUGCCUGCAGCUGGAACAUUUACUUUUCUACGAURUUGUUAAAACCGGCUAGUGGCAUAGACUGUUGUUACAGGACAAUUCAAAAUACUUCUGAACAGUGUUGGAUGUCCAGAURCUGAUACCUAAGUGCAGAGAUGAUGACAUUUGAAUAUUCAAUUGAAUUUUUGGAUCAUUGGUGCAAUGUCAUUGGUGAGGGCCAUAUAUAACUUAAUACUCAUACUGUUGUUCUGAACUUACAAAAUGACAAGGGCAUGUUACAAGAACUUUGUAACAUGUUCUUGUCAUCUUGUAAGCUUGGCACUUUGUGAAAAAACUGGGGGCCUUCUGAUUUUCUUAAGUGUAUUUCUCUUCUAUAAAUUUUGAUAGGAUGCUAAGCCUGAAAUAAAUGGCAUGAACCAGAUCACCAGAUAUUAAAUUAAACGAGCAGAUAUUAAAUUAAACGAGCAAGCAGUGCUAGUCAAACCUCAUAAAAUUCCUGGCUUGUCCAAUAUUCACCUGACAAUGCAUGUUGAUUGUGUUCCUCUACUUAGGCAUACAAGUAUGUACAACAGAUGAGACAGAAACACAGUGUCAAAAAGGGUAACGAAGCUGAUACCUAUUACUUUAUCGGAGAGUGGCAGCAUUUCAAGUGUAGAUCUUGAAGUUCCCUGCUGUAGUGGCUUAUCAUUAUAAAUAUCACUGGCAUAACAAGUUUGUCAAUUUAAAUUAGCUUAUAUAGAGGUAGUGAGUUCCAGAGGGACGUUGGGAAAGUUGGGGCGAUACACCAGAGAAGUAUAGUAUACACUGGAUAAGUAUUUAUAAUAAAACCAAAAUAUUUUUUGAUGGCAGGGAUAUCACAAGCAUAUUUAAAAGGCAUCAAGGCUUCUACCAUUUGAGCUAAUAUGAAAUAGUCAUAAUAAAAAUUGCAACUCAGAAACCAUAAAAGGAUUAAGAUCCUUCUUAUAGAGAGGGCAGGGUCUGUGUUUUAAGGAUGUUGUCAAGAAUUUUAUGCAUGAGAUACAAAACAUGCAAGCUUUGUAUGUGCAAAUGGGAGAGAAUUAAACAGAAGUGAGACAAGAAGAUUUCCAUAAUCCCUGUCAGCUUAUUGUGACGGUAUUAAACUCCAGCUUUAUAAUCUCAUCUGGAUUUUUUUUUUGUUUUUACUUGUCAGAAUGAGAAGGAGACACUAGAUGAAGUUAUCCUYAGCAUGUCAUGAGUAAUGGGAAUGCAGCAGUUUGGAGCUGUCCACAUGCUAGUUUGYCAAAAGAAGAAUUAAUUAGAAAACAAGGUCUAGAAUGACAAUUUUUCAUUUUUUCUGCCACAGAAAGGGAAAAAUUUUAAAAUAGCUUACCUGGAAAGAAGGCCUGAGGUGAUUAAGUUGAAAACAAACUGCAAACACCAUGUCAGUCUUUAGCAAGUUAUACAUCUUAAUGCUAAUUUACAUCUUAAUGACUCAAGAUCUCUAGAGGCUUCAGGUACUAGUAGACAUUAGAAUCAAAAUUCCGCUGGUAGUUUCAGAUCUUUUCAGAUACAUAUCACAAUGACAAUUUUGGGUCUUAAAACAGAAAUAGAAAAUGCUAAAARAAAUAUGGUGGUAAAAAUAGAUACAGGCAUAGAAAUCCUGGAGACCAAUUCCCCAUUUUUCCAUAUUAGACAUUUCAGUGCUACCCCACAACAUAUAAUAUCCUUGUAUGGAUGAACCACUUCUCCAGACUACAAGAUAAUUCACUUUCCAUACUGUAUUGUCAACAAGGAGCGGAGGUGUUCAGUUAGGUGUGAAUAAGGUUUUAAACUGAAACUUAAUGUCUGGUCUCAAGGCCAGAUUAGGGUUCAUACUCAGAGAGUAAACCUGAUGAGUGCUUCUCAAAAGGAAUCAAGUAAAAUGUGAUCAAUUUGAAAUAAUGGAAACCUUAUUAUAUCUGCCAGGUCUGCUGCAUAGUAUUCCUACACACAGAACAGCACAGAGAUUAAAGCUCAUGGACAAAACUUUGGCUCCAGCUUGGUAACACACAACAAGAACAAGCCUCUUAACCAUGGCCUGAUUCUGGAAAUGGGAUUCUGACAAAACCAUCUCAUUGGCUUUCUAUCUCUCAGUCAGCCAAAAUAUUGCCYUGUUUGACAGAAGUUUUAGAUUAUGACUUACAAAUAAUUAUCAUAACAAUUUAGGGUAUGAUAUUGACUGCAUGUGUAAUAUGCUUAGGAACACCUUGGGAAAAAAAAAAAAAAAAAAAC